UGGGUGAUUAGCUCAGCUGGGAGAGCACCUCCCUUACAAGGAGGGGGUCGGCGGUUCGAUCCCGUCAUCACCCA
rnacentral:tRNA from 1 species